AUCAGGUCCUGACCCGAAAGCAAGGAUUGGCUGCUCAACUGCCUGAGCCAUCCAGGCACCCCUGGAAUGUCUUUUCACAUGUUUAUUUGACUUCUUUCUAUCUUCUUUGGAGAGACUCUGGCAUAUACAACUGUUGACAGGAAUGAGUAGAAUGAGCUGGAAGAAGGAGUGAUGGAAAGAAGAUACAGAGGAGGGUGGUUCCUUUGACCCUCCCUCUUCCUGACCCACUGUGAUAGCAGUCCGUGCUGAGAAGCUAGAAGCAGAACCAGACUGGGAGUUGGAGUUGGAGGCAAGAGGAGCAGAGAGAAGAGGCCAACGCCUGGUCCAUGAAGUGUUGUGGGUUCCUUGAGCAGCCUGCCCUCCCACAGCCUGCUGAAUAAAUUGGAAAAUGAAAAGCUUGAAGAAAGAUGCCAAAACUUUGUUCCAGCUUUCCGAGCACUCAGAGUGCUAAUUUAUACAUCAUAACCCUGAAAAGAUUCCAUUGUUUUCCUCAACUUUGAAAGACUGGGCUAUGUCCAAGGGCAUAUCAAGUGGGUAGUGCUCGAAAAGCAAGCCACAUUUUUGGAACUCUCAUUGGAAACCAUGGAGGCACCCAGUGUCAGCUCCACCCAGCCCAAGGCCUGACUUCACUGGGGUGGCUGCUGGAGAGGCUGGUCCAAGGCCAGACAUGGGAGGAAAAGGCCCAUCUGAUAUUGUUUGCAGGAAAAGCCAGGGAAGAGCAUCACCUAGAAAUUGGGUGUACUUUAUGUCCAGUACACCCUGAAGAAAACUUGAAGAACCAAGGGCUAUGAUGAAGAAAGUAGCUUGUGGCUGUCAAGGAAGGCAUAUGCCAUUGAGGAGACAUGAUUACAUAGAAACAGGAUAGGAAUCUGCGGGGGCAGGGCGGAUGAAGAGAUUUCACGAGUUAUAGGAAUUCAUUUCUGCCCCAGCCUCUGGUAGUAUCUUUUGCAAUUUGCUGAAACAUGUUGGAGGCAAAGAUCACUGUCAGGGUGUUUCCAAGCGCCUGGCCUCAC